AAGUCGUAACAAGGUUUCCGUAGGUGAACCUGCGGAAGGAUCAUUAUCACAAAUGAUUUUUAACUCUCUUAAUCCAGAGUUAAACCUCUUCUUAAACCAAUCUAAUUAAAAUGUGAAAUCGUUUUAUUUUUUUUUUAAGAACUUGGCAACAAGCCUUAAAAAAAAAUUAUUAACCAAUUGAACCCUUUUCUAAUUAAUGUUAUUUUAUUUAUUUAGUUCUGAAAUCUAUUAUAUAUCAAUAUGUAAUAAUAUUGACAUGUAAUAAGUUACAUUACGAAACAAUUUAAAUAAAACAACUCUUAGCAACGGAUAUCUUGGUUCUC
rnacentral:misc_RNA from 1 species